rnacentral:rRNA from 2 species
GGGUUGUGAGGUUAAGCGACUAAGCGUACACGGUGGAUGCCCUGGCAGUCAGAGGCGAUGAAGGGCGUGCUAAUCUGCGAUAAGCGCCGGUAAGGUGAUAUGAACCGUUAUAACCGGCGAUACCCGAAUGGGGAAACCCAGUGUGACUCGUCACACUAUCAUUAACUGAAUCCAUAGGUUAAUGAGGCGAACCGGGGGAACUGAAACAUCUAAGUACCCCGAGGAAAAGAAAUCAACCGAGAUUCCCCCAGUAGCGGCGAGCGAACGGGGAGGAGCCCAGAGCCUGAAUCAGCAUGUGUGUUAGUGGAAGCGUCUGGAAAGGCGCGCGAUACAGGGUGACAGCCCCGUACACAAAAGCGCAUGUGCUGUGAGCUCGAUGAGUAGGGCGGGACACGUGGUAUCCUGUCUGAAUAUGGGGGGACCAUCCUCCAAGGCUAAAUACUCCUGACUGACCGAUAGUGAACCAGUACCGUGAGGGAAAGGCGAAAAGAACCCCGGCGAGGGGAGUGAAAAAGAACCUGAAACCGUGUACGUACAAGCAGUGGGAGCACAGGUUUACCUGUGUGACUGCGUACCUUUUGUA